AUGAAAUUAAAGAAAAGAAUACAAAUAAAAAUAAUUGAGAGAAGAAAGUGGUGUCGUUGUUGUUUAGUGUUUAAGUUUGUGGCUUUUCAGAUCCCUCGAACAAAUUUCGUUCCCUCUUUCUCUUCCGCGAGCGGCGCUGUAAACCUCCACUCAAUAUUCUUCCCCGAUGAUCUGCACCUCCGUGCUCAACUCUCCAUGUCUCUUAGUCUCGUUUUCAGUCUAUGUUUAGAUGUGUUGCUCCAAUUUGUUUCACCAACAACGUCUCCAUCCAAUUUGACUUCUUCCUUCUUCAAACCGCAGCUUGAAUUCAUACUCAUCUUCUUCGUUUAUGGAAAACAAACUCGUAUAGUAAGAGACAAUGAAAAAAGGUGA